UCGCACAAGUUUGAUCUAAACCCGGGAAGACCAGACUAGCCUGUGAACUUUCUUUACUCAUGGAACUAGAUUAACUCCACAAUGUCAACAGGGAGAAAGAGAAGAGCCGAUAUCUGGACACAUUUCUCAUUUGACGUCGUGAAAAACAAGACGAUGUGUAAACCAUGUGGGGUGACGAUCUCGGGGCGGCACGGUGGCUAAGUGGGUUGCGCUGUCGCCUCACAGCAAGAAGGUCCUGGGUUCGAACCCCAGGUGGGGCGGUCCGGGUCCUUUGUGUGUGGAGUUUGCAUGUUCUCCCCCGUGUCUGCGUGAGUUUCCUCCGGGUGCUCCGGUUUCCUCCCACAGCCCAAAGACGUGCAAGUGAGGUGAAUUGAAGAUACUAAAUUUGUCCAUGACUGUGUUCGAUAUAACCUUGUGAAUCGAAUAAACUUGUGUAAUGAAUAA